GACGAACGCUGGCGGCGCGCUUAACACAUGCAAGUCGAACGGACCGGCCCUUCGCGGUUCUCGCGUGGCGAACGGGUGCGUAACACGUGGUUGACCUGCCCCGCACUUUGGGAUAAGCCUGGGAAACUGGGUCUCCUACCGAAUAGGACCACGCGCUUCACGCUGUGUGGUGGAAAGCUUUUGCGGUGUGGGAUGGGCCCGCGGCCUAUCAGCUUGUUGGUGGGGUAAUGGCCUACCAAGGCGACGACGGGUAGCCGGCCUGAGAGGGUGACCGGCCACACUGGGACUGAGGUACGGCACAGACUGCUACGGGAGGCAGCAGUGGGGAAUAUUGCACAAUGGGCGCAAGCCUGAUGCAGCGACGCCGCGUGAGGGAUGACGGCCUUCGGGUUGUAAACCUCUUUCACCAGGGACGAAGCGUAAGUGACGGUACCAUGAGAAGAAGCACCGGCCAACUACGUG
rnacentral:rRNA from 1 species